AUUGAACGCUGGCGGCAUGCCUUACACAUGCAAGUCGAACGGCAGCACGGAGCUUGCUCUGGUGGCGAGUGGCGAACGGGUGAGUAAUAUAUCGGAACGUACCCAAGAGUGGGGGAUAACGUAGCGAAAGUCACGCUAAUACCGCAUACGAUCUAAGGAUGAAAGCAGGGGACCUUCGGGCCUUGUGCUCCUGGAGCGGCCGAUAUCUGAUUAGCUAGUUGGUGAGGUAAAGGCUCACCAAGGCAUCGAUCAGUAGCUGGUCUGAGAGGACGACCAGCCACACUGGAACUGAGACACGGUCCAGACUCCUACGGGAGGCAGCAGUGGGGAAUUUUGGACAAUGGGGGCAACCCUGAUCCAGCAAUGCCGCGUGAGUGAAGAAGGCCUUCGGGUUGUAAAGCUCUUUUGUCAGGGAAGAAACGGUGAAGGCUAAUAUCCUUUGCUAAUGACGGUACCUGAAGAAUAAGCACCGGCUAACUACGUGCCAGCCGCCGCGGUAA
rnacentral:rRNA from 1 species